UAGGAUUUGGGCUGAAGAUAGUUUUCUUGCUCCAGAGGUUUAAAGGUGGUGAGGACUUUCCGUUUCCUGAUAUUGUUAUAAAUUGCUGCCUCUUACUGUAUGGCUCAUUGCUGGUGUCAUUUAGAUCUUCUGUGUCCUUAUUUAAUUGUUGGCCACCAGAAUUAAGUUUCCUGACAGUUUUCCCUGAAUAUGGCACAGUCUACCUGAGUUUUUUCUGCCUCUCUGAACUUAGACAUUCACGAAGGUUCCACCAUCAGCCCCGGAUUCUUCAGGUUUGUUUCCUAGCCUUGCACCUAGCCAAAGGGAGGGGCCCUUCACCGGCAGGUGCACUUUUGCUGCUACUUUGUGAGAUCUGCUCCUUCUCAGGUUGUGCCACUCCCCUUCCCUCUCCAGAUCCCCUACCCCUGGUGGCUGUUUGACCUCAGCUGUGCUUCCACUCAGAGUGGCGGCUUCUCCUUCCAGUGUACACUCCUCCUUGCUGGUUCUGGGACCUGCCACCCUCAGCACCCACUUUUCUUCCCUACUUCCCUUGUCACCUCCCUACCCUGCUUCCUGGACCAUGUCCUCCUGACCUUAACUGCUUCUACCAAUACUAAGACAUAUUUUAGAAUACUUAGGUUUUCUUUUUCUUCUAGGUUCACUAAAAAGAGAAAAAAUUAGGAAACUUUUUUUUUUAAGUAUCCAUUUUUCUCUCUAUAGUGUCCAAUGACAUACUGAACAGUUUCAGAACUAAGCUGCUACCGUGUUCAUACUAGAACCUUGAUGAUUAUGCUCCAGAUUAUUAAUCUGUGGUGAUUUAACACAUAGAAGUUUGGGAAAUAAGAAAAGUGUCAAAACAAAAUGAUCCAUGCCCUGCCAUGCAUCAGUAACUGCUAUGAACCUCCCUACAAUCUUUCCAUCAUAUAAUGAAGUUCGUCAUAUAUACGCAAUUAUAUAUGCUGGUCCUUUUCCUACGUAUUUUGAUGCAUCUAAAUUUUAAAGAAUUGCAUAUUUUUGAGAAUAGAAAUACCAAGAAUAUCAAAAGAGAGAAGGUAAAUUAGAGCCAAACAUCUUUUUUUUCCAUUUAAGAAAUAAGUUCAUAUAAUUGUAAAGCCUGUGUGAACUCUCAACUCACUGGUUCACCAUAAUUCACCUUGCCAUUCUUUUAUUGCUGAAUAUGCCAUUUGUUCCCAUGUUUUACUAUUUUAAAUAUCACUGAUAGACUAGAACAUCAUAAAUAUUUUAAAAUAUACUUCCCAAUUUGUGAAGCUAGAAUAAAAGAAUGUGAGAUCUUCUAAGGCUUUUGAUAUAUACUGACAUUUUUUCCCAAAAAUGUUGUCUACAUUAACACUUCCAGCAACAGGAUGUCGAAGAAUGUCAGUUUGAUCAUACCCUCUGAACAUCUUCUUAACCUUGAUUAGCCAAUAAAGCACAUUCUCUUGGUUUCCCAUUAUAUUACUCCCAUCAUGUGUCAAUAAGCUUCAGUGAUCUGAGCCAACUGCAUUUUAUAAGCAUGAUAAGAAGACAUUGCUUGACUCUCAACUCUGUUCUGCUGUCAAAUAAAAAUGCUGAA